AAAAAAAUAUAAAAGUAUUUUAAUAAAUAUUUUAUCGGCUAUAUUUAAGGCUGUAAAUAUAUUUUAUUUUUCAAAUCUAAAAGGAUAAGCUUUUAGAUUUAAGAUAAUUAAGAUCUAUAGUAUCAAAUAUAAAGUUAUGUGGGCUUAGAAUUAGUCAUUAUUAAAGUUUGUUAUAAGAUAUCUUUUUAAAUAAUCAUAAAAUUUUUGUAUUUUUAUUCUAAUAAUCUAAUGAAGAUAACAAUUUCAAUUAAAGUAAAUUUUUUGCCUAUGCUAAAAUGAGUAUUAUAUUAACUUUUAAAUAAUUUAUAUAAUUAUCUUUAUUAAUGUUAAAAGCACCAAUUAGGAAAAAGGAACUCGGCAAAAUUUGUUUCGCCUGUUUAUCAAAAACAUGGCUCUUUGUAUAAUAUAAAAUAAAGAGUCUAACCUGCCCAGUGAAAUUUUUAACGGCCGCGGUACUCUGACCGUGCAAAGGUAGCAUAAUCAUUUGCCUUAUAAUUAAAGGCUAGUAUGAAUGGUUUGACGAAAACAAAACUGUCUCUUUCCUAAUAUCUAAAAACUAACCUAUAGGUGAAGAGGCCUAUAUAAAAUUAAAGGACAAGAAGACCCUAUCGAGCUUAAAAGAUAUUAUAGAAAUAAAAUACCUAUUGGAAUAUAUAAUUCAUUAAGCUUUUUAGUUGGGGCGACUGAGGAACAAAUAAAGCUUCUUUUUUUGUAUAUAACAUAUAAGUUCAGAUCCAAUAUAUUCAUUGAUCAAAAAAAUUAGUUACCGUAGGGAUAACAGCAUAAUCUCUCUUAAGAGAUCUAAUCGAAAGAGGGGAUUGUGACCUCGAUGUUGGAUUAGAGUAUCCUCAAGAUGCAGAUGUCU
rnacentral:rRNA from 1 species